rfam:Capsicum annuum cultivar Zunla-1 chromosome 1, whole genome shotgun sequence
GUCCAUCCAGAGACAUUUGAUAAAAUUGAAACGAUACAGAGUAGAUCAGUAUGGCUCCUAUGCAAUGCUGACAAGCACAAAUCGAGAAAUGAUCCAAAUUCGU